UACGUUGUCUGCUAUACGCAGGAAG
rnacentral:rRNA from 1 species